rnacentral:rRNA from 1 species
GAACCAGUACCGUGAGGGAAAGGUGAAAAGAACCCCGGGAGGGGAGUGAAAAGAACAUGAAACCAUAAACUUACAAGCAGUAGGAGGACGACUAAAACGUUUGACUGCGUGCCUGUUGAAGAAUGAGCCGGCGACUUAUAGUUAGUGGCAGGUUAAAGUAGAGAAUACUGAAGCCAUAGUGAAAGCGAGCCUGAAUAGGGCGUUUGUCACUAAUUAUAGACCCGAACCCGGAUGAUCUAACCAUGG